GGAAACAACUUUUCAAACUUCACAGCCAGGCGCACGGAUUGAACACGGCCUGGAGAGUGUUCUUCAUCAAGAACAGCAACAAAUUUCCAGAAAAUUGCAGAUGAGCAUUUCUCAACCAAAUGCAACAAAUCAUACAUCAAAAUGACCGGUGCUCAACGUACAUCAUGGAACUAACAAGCAUACGACCUAAUUCUAACUAUAUCAACGGGAUCGAGCGAAAAU
rnacentral:lncRNA from 1 species